rnacentral:rRNA from 1 species
UACGUAGGGUCCGAGCGUUGUCCGGAAUUAUUGGGCGUAAAGGGCUCGUAGGCGGUUCGUCACGUCGGGAGUGAAAACUCGGGGCUUAACCCCGAGCCUGCUUCCGAUACGGGCAGACUAGAGGUAGGCAGGGGAGAGCGGAACUCCUGGUGUAGCGGUGGAAUGCGCAGAUAUCAGGAAGAACACCGGUGGCGAAGGCAGGUCUCUGGGCCGAUACUGACGCUGAGGAGCGAAAGCGUGGGGAGCGAACAGG